rnacentral:rRNA from 1 species
CCUACGGGGGGCAGCAGUGGGGAAUAUUGCACAAUGGGGGAAACCCUGAUGCAGCGACGCCGCGUGAGUGAAGAAGUAUUUCGGUAUGUAAAGCUCUGUCAGCAGGGAAGAAAAUGACGGUACGUGACCAAGAAGCCCCGGCUAACGACAGGCAAGCAGCGGCGGAAAAACGUAGGGGGCAAGCGUUAUCCGGAUUUACUGGGGGUAAAGGGAGCGUAGACGGAAGGGCAAGUCUGGAGGGAAAGGCGGGGGCUCAACCCCCGGACUGCUCUGGAAACUGCCAGGCGGGAGUGCAGGAGAGGUCAGUGGAAUUCCUAGUGUAGCGGUGAACUGCGUCGAUAUUAGGAGGAACCCCAGUGGCGAAGGCGGCUUACUGGACUGUACCUGCCGUUGAGGCUCGCAAGCGUGGGGAGCAAACAGGAUUAGAUACCCUUGUAGUC